CCUACGGGUGGCAGCAGUGGGGAAUAUUGGACAAUGGGGGCAACCCUGAUCCAGCCAUGCCGCGUGUGUGAAGAAGGCCCUCGGGUUGUAAAGCACUUUCAGUGAGGAAGAACGCCUGGUGGUUAAUACCCAUCAGGAAAGACAUCACUCACAGAAGAAGCACCGGCUAACUCCGUGCCAGCAGCCGCAGUAAUACGGAGGGUGCGAGCGUUAAUCGGAAUUACUGGGCGUAAAGCGCGCGUAGGUGGCUUGAUAAGCCGGUUGUGAAAGCCCCGGGCUCAACCUGGGAACGGCAUCCGGAACUGUCAAGCUAGAGUGCAGGAGAGGAAGGUAGAAUUCCCGGUGUAGCGGUGAAAUGCGUAGAGAUCGGGAGGAAUACCAGUGGCGAAGGCGGCCUUCUGGACUGACACUGACACUGAGGUGCGAAAGCGUGGGUAGCAAACAGGAUUAGAUACCCUUGUAGUC
rnacentral:rRNA from 1 species